rnacentral:rRNA from 1 species
CUGAACGCCUCUAAGUCAGAAUCCGUGCUAGAAACGAUGAUGUUGGUGUCGCACAUUAGACUUGUGUUUAAAUAGAGCUUUGCUCGUGAACCAAAUAUGGUCGGGCUGGGUUGUCUUUGCGGAAACGCUUAGGCGACUUGUCUACGAAUUGUAAUCAUAAUAUGGGCGGCGGUGAAUCCUUUGCAGACGACUUGAAUGGGAACGGGGUACUGUAAGUGGUAGAGUAGCCUUGUUGCUACGAUCCACUGAGGUUAAGCCCUUGUUCUAAAGAUUUGUUCA